UUCCGGUUGAUCCUGCCGGAGGCUACCGCUAUUGGAGUUCGAUUAAGCCAUGCGAGUCGCGAGUCUUAGGGACUCGGCGUACCGCUCAGUAACACGUGGGUAACCUGCCCUAUGCUGGGGGAUAACCUCGGGAAACUGAGAAUAAUACCCCAUAGUUCACCACGCCUGGAACGGUGGGUGGAUGAAAGCUCCGGCGGCAUAGGAUGGGCCUGCGGCGUAUCAGGUUGUAGGGGGUGUAAUGUACCCUCUAGCCCUCUACGCGUACGGGUGUUGAGAGACAUCGCCCGGAGAUGGAUUCUGAGACACGAAUCCAGACCCUACGGGGUGCAGCAGGCGCGAAAACUUGGCAAUGCGAGCAAUCGUGACCAGGGAACUCCAAGUGCAUCGGGUAAGACCGAUGCUUUUCUUGACUCUUCAAAGGUCUUGGAAUAAGGGGUGGGUAAGGACGGUGCCAGCCGCCGCGGUAAUACCGGCGCCCCAAGUGGUAGUCGCUUUUAUUGGGCCUAAAACGUCCGUAGCCGGUCUGGUACAUUCGUGGGUAAAUCAACCAGCUCAACUGGUUGAAUUCUGCGAGCACGGCCAGACUUGGGACCGGGAGAGGUGUGGGGUACUCUCAGGGUAGGGGUAAAAUCCUGUCAUCCUGAGAGGACCACCUGUUGCGAAGGCGCCACACUAGAACGGAUCCGACGGUCAGGGACGAAGCCUAGGGGCACGAACCGGAUUAGAUACCCGGGUAGUCCUAGGUGUAAACGCUGUGGACUUGAUGUUGGGGGCGCUCCGAGCGCACUCAGUGUCGAAGCGAAGGUGAUAAGUCCACUGCCUGGGGAGUACGGUCGCAAGGCUGAAACUUAAAGGAAUUGGCGGGGGAGCACCGCAACCUGAGGAUUGUGCGGUUUAAUUGGAUUCAACGCCGG
rnacentral:rRNA from 1 species